GUUUCCAGUUAUAAUCCAGGUUGUACGGACAACAUGAACAUACGUGCCGUUCGUAGCAAAUAAAUCCACUAUGGCAAAAGCAUGCUGCAUCGAAAUAUCAAAAACAUGGAAAUCGUAACAUUUCGAAAAUUGUCAUCAAACGGUUUCACAAUCGCUUGUAAGGAUAAUGUAUCAAUCACUUUUUAGAUGUUGGACAAGCAAUUAGACGCCUAAAACAAUGAACAAGUAAAGACCGAAGCCCUUGACGACAAUAACGCGUCACGGAAACAACACACCGUUGCAUUAGCCUAAGAUCUUAAUCAAUAUAUCAGAAUAAAAUUAAUAACCAUCUUAGACAAUUGUAAAUAAGCUUUAAAAUUUUUUAAAAUGAUGUGAUUCAAAGUUUCCCUUAAUUUCUUAAAAGUAAUGACAUUAUUAGGCUUUGAGUAUUAAUUUUGACACUGUUAAGUAUUGAAAAGAAUCAUUAUCGAUUAUCUUACCUCGUCGAUAUUCAGUUAUUUCAUGUUGUCCUGAAAUAUUUACAUCGUUUGCUUUUGGGACGUUAUAAGGACGUUAUAAAACUCAAAUCAAUGUGACAUCCUGUCUUGGUUCCAAAAUAGACAUUAACUCCGGAUCUGGAGCUGU